GUCUCAGGGACCCUCGGAGAAGAGGCUGCCGUCGGCCAGGCCUCUUGUGCCCCAGCUGUGAGCCAGGAACGUCAACAAAUCCCAUUGGCUCUGCUUCCCAAAUGGCUCCCUUCAGGUCCAAACCACCAUCCUCUCCUGCCCGGACGCACCAGCCGGCCUCCCACAGGUCCUUCCACUCCUGCCCCUUCCGGGACAUUCUCUAAAUAGCAACCGGUCAAGUUCAUCUGGUCGACACUCAACCACUGAGCCACGCCAGCCGAGCAAGAGGCCAUGCUCUUAUUUGCCAUUUUCACUGGACCUCCACUGCCCCAGCGUGCAGUGGGGCGCUUCAUACCCUUAAACAACAAUCCCUAAAGUGCACCAUCCCGAAAACUGGUCAAAGCAGUUCAGUGUAGACUGCAACGAGGCUCCACCGUCUUUGAGAACAGCCCCCUUGACUGGAACUGGCCUCCACUGCUGGCCAUCGAAAGGGAAGUGAGAAGAAGCCGCUGUGCCUGGAGUAGAAGAUAAGAGGAGAGUUGGGGAGGGACGUCUGCUGGGGUUGGGCAGGGCUGGCCUUGGGGGUGGGGGUGGAUUCUGAUCUUUAUCCUAAGAGCCAGCCACUGCCCGCUCUGUUCUGCAGGAACCCCUGCCCACAGGGGAGAGAUCUGCCCAAGGCCACACUGACCCGCCACAGCGGCCCUGGUGUCUGCCUUCCGGACUAAGAGGAGGCGCGGGGGAAAGGGGCACAGGGACAGUCCCAGCACCACCGUGGCCCUGAGAACCAGCACCUGACCCUUCCCACCGUGGGUUUCCGUCUCAGAACCGGUUUCCUUUCCCAGGGCUCUGGCUCCGACACCCAGACUGUGCGCACCCAGGUCUGCACCAAAGGGCCCCGCAGAGCCCGGCUUUCUGGCGAGAGGAAAGGCUGAGACCAGGAGGGCCGUGGUCCGCAGGGAAGCGUGUGGGGAAGUCGCUCUGUGACAUAAAGGCUUUUCCCAGAGACGGAGGGGCCUGGAAGACGGAGGGCGAAUCUGGCUGAGGUUUAAAACGAUGCCAUCUCUUUGGGGAAGAAAAGGGCGUCCCCUGGAAAUACCGCACAUCCUCAAAACACAUCCGGCCCCUUCCGUGUGACAGCACUCCUGUU